ACGAACGCUGGCGGUAUGCUUAACACAUGCAAGUCGAACGAAUUAAUCUAGCUUGCUAGAUUAGUUAUUGGCAAACGGGUGAGUAACACGUGGGAAUCUACCCAGUAGUAUGGAAUAACAGUUAGAAAUGACUGCUACUACCAUAUAGUAUCGAGAGAUUAAAGAUUUAUCGCUACUGGAUGAGCCCGCGUCAGAUUAGGUAGUUGGUGGGGUAAUGGCCUACCAAGCCAAAGAUCUGUAGCUGGUCUGAGAGGAUGAUCAGCCACACUGGAACUGAGACACGGUCCAGACUCCUACGGGAGGCAGCAGUGAGGAAUAUUGGACAAUGGGCGAAAGCCGGAGCCAGCAAUACCGCGGGAGUGAAGAAGGCCUUAGGGUGGUAAAGCUAUUUCAGCAGGGAAAAGUAUGAUGGUACCUGAAGAAGAAGUCCCGGCUAACUCCGU
rnacentral:rRNA from 1 species